AGAGUUGAUCCUGGCUCAGGAUGAACGCUAGCGACAGGCCUAACACAUGCAAGUCGAGGGCAGCACAAGGAGCAAUCUGAGGUGGCGACCGGCGCACGGGUGAGUAACGCGUAUGCAACCUACCUAUCAGAGGGGAAUAACCCGGCGAAAGUCGGACUAAUACCGCAUAAAACAGGGGCACCGCAUGGUGAUAUUUGUUAAAGAGAUUCGCUGAUAGAUGGGCAUGCGUUCCAUUAGGUAGUUGGUGAGGUAACGGCUCACCAAGCCGACGAUGGAUAGGGGAACUGAGAGGUUGGUCCCCCACACUGGUACUGAGACACGGACCAGACUCCUACGGGGGGCAGCAGUGAGGAAUAUUGGUCAAUGGGCGGGAGCCUGAACCAGCCAAGUCGCGUUGAAGGAAGAAGGAUCUAUGGUUCGUAAACUUCUUUUGCAGGGGAAUAAAGUGCAGGACGUGUCCUGUUUUGUAUGUACCCUGAGAAUAAGGAUCGGCUAACUCCGUGCCAGCCGCUGC
rnacentral:rRNA from 1 species